rnacentral:rRNA from 1 species
CCUACGUGAGGCAGCAGUGGGGAAUAUUGCACAAUGGGGGAAACCCUGAUGCAGCGACGCCGCGUGAGCGAUGAAGUAUUUCGGUAUGUAAAGCUCUAUCAGCAGGGAAGAAAAUGACGGUACUUGACUAAGAAGCCCCGGCUAACUACGGGCCAGCAGCCGCGGUAAUACGUAGGGGGCAAGCGUUAUCCGGAUUUACUGGGUGUAAGGGAGCGUAGACGGUCCUGCAAGCCAGAUGUGAAAGCCCGGGGCUCAACCCCGGGACUGCAUUUGGAACUGUAAGGCUAGAGUGUCGGAGUGGCAGGCGGAAUUCCUAGUGUAGCGGUGAAAUGCGUAGAUAUUAGGAGGAACACCAGUGGCGAAGGCGGCCUGCUGGACGAUGACUGACGUUGAGGCUCGAAAGCGUGGGGAGCAAACAGGAUUAGAUACCCCGGUAGUC